CCUGGCGGCAGUAGCGCGGUGGUCCCACCUGACCCCAUGCCGAACUCAGAAGUGAAACGCCGUAGCGCCGAUGGUAGUGUGGGGUCUCCCCAUGCGAGAGUAGGGAACUGCCAUGC
rnacentral:rRNA from 1 species